GCCAGGUGUGGUGGCUUAUGCCUGUAAUCCCAGCAGCUCAGGAGGCUGAGACAGGAGGAUCAGGGGGUCAAAGCCAGAUUCGGGAAUGGUGAGGGUGCUAAGCAACUCACUGAGACCCUGUCUGUA
rnacentral:sRNA from 1 species